CCUACGGGCGGCAGCAGUGAGGAAUAUUGGUCAAUGGACGCGAGUCUGACCCAGCCAAGUAGCGUGAAGGAUGACUGCCCUCUGGUUUGUAAACUUCUUUUAUAUGGGAAUAACAUGUUCCACGUGUGGGGUUUUGUAUGUACCCUAUGAAUGAGGCUCGGCUAACUACGUGCCAGCAGCCGCAGUAAUACGGAGGAUCCGAGCGUUGUCCGGAUUUAUUGGGUGUAAAGGGAGCGUAGGUGGAUUGUUAAGUCAGUUGUGAAAGUUUGCGGCUCAACCGUAAGAUUGCAGUUGAAACUGGCAGUCGUGAGUACAGUAGAGGCGGACGGAAUUCGUGGUGUAGCGGUGAAAUGCGUAGAUAUCACGAAGAACUCCGAUUGCGAAGGCAGUUCACUGGACUGCAACUGACACUGAGGCUCGAAAGUGUGGGUAUCAAACAGGAUUAGAUACCCGUGUAGUC
rnacentral:rRNA from 1 species